rnacentral:rRNA from 1 species
UACAGAGGUCCCAAGCGUUGUUCGGAUUCACUGGGCGUAAAGGGUGCGUAGGUGGUCAGGUAAGUCUGAUGUGAAAGCUCUGGGCUCAACCCAGAAAUGGCAUUGGAUACUAUCUGGCUAGAGGAAUGGAGGGGGACUGGAAUACUUGGUGUAGCAGUGAAAUGCGUAGAUAUCAAGUGGAACACCAGUGGCGAAGGCGAGUCCCUGGACAUUUCCUGACACUGAGGCACGAAAGCUAGGGGAGCAAACGGG